AACGAACGCUGGCGGCAUGCCUAACACAUGCAAGUCGAACGAGACCUUCGGGUCUAGUGGCGCACGGGUGCGUAACGCGUGGGAACCUGCCCUUAGGUUUGGAAUAACUCCCCGAAAGGGGUGCUAAUACCGGAUAAUGUCUUCGGACCAAAGAUUUAUCGUCUUUGGAUGGGCCCGCGUUUGAUUAGCUGGUGGGUAGGGUAAAAGCCUACCAAGGCGAGGAUCCAUAGCUGGUCGGAGAGGAGGAUCAGCCACACUGGGACUGAGACACGGCCCAGACUGCGACGGGAGGGAGGAGAGGGGAAUAUUGGACGAUGGGGGCAAGCCUGAUACCGCAAUGCCGGGUGAGUGGUGAAGGGCUUAGGGUUGUAAAGCUGUUUUAGACGGGAUGAUAAUGACGGUAACGGGUGAAUAAGCUCCGGCUAACUACGUG
rnacentral:rRNA from 1 species